rnacentral:rRNA from 1 species
UACGAAGGGGGCUAGCGUUGUUCGGAAUCACUGGGCGUAAAGGGCGCGUAGGCGGCUUUGUAAGUCGGGGGGUGAAAGCCUGUGGCUCAACCACAGAAUUGCCUUCGAUACUGCAUGGCUUGAGACCGGAAGAGGUAAGUGGAACUGCGAGUGUAGAGGUGAAAUUCGUAGAUAUUCGCAAGAACACCAGUGGCGAAGGCGGCUUACUGGUCCGGUUCUGACGCUGAGGCGCGAAAGCUAGGGGAGCAAACGGG